GACAGAGGGUGCAAACGUUGCUCGGAAUCACUGGGCGUAAAGGCGUGUAGGCGGGACGGUAAGUCGGGCGUGAAAUCCCUAGGCUCAACCUAGGAACUGCACUCGAAACUACCAUUCUUGAGUGUCGGAGAGGAAAGCGGAAAUUCCUGUGUAGAGGUGAAAAUUCGUAGAUAUCAGGAGGAACACCAGUGGCGAAAGGCGGCUUUCUGGGACGAUAACUGACGCUGAGACGCGAAAGCGUGGGGGGAGCAAAACAGG
rnacentral:rRNA from 1 species